rnacentral:rRNA from 1 species
CGUAGGGUGCGAGCGUUAAUCGGAAUUACUGGGCGUAAAGCGUGCGCAGGCGGUUAUGUAAGACAGAUGUGAAAUCCCCGGGCUCAACCUGGGAACUGCGUUUGUGACUGCAUAACUAGAGUACGGCAGAGGGAGGUGGAAUUCCGCGUGUAGCAGUGAAAUGCGUAGAGAUGCGGAGGAACACCGAUGGCGAAGGCAGCCUCCUGGGCCAGUACUGACGCUCAUGCACGAAAGCGUGGGGAGCAAACAGGAUU